UACGUAGGGAGCAAGCGUUGUCCGGAAUCAUUGGGCGUAAAGCGCGCGUAGGUGGCUUCUUAAGUCCGUUGUGAAAGUCAAAGGCUCAACCUUUGAAAGCCGAUGGAUACUGUGAAGCUAGAGUACGGAAGAGGCGAGUGGAAUUCCUGGUGUAGCGGUGGAAUGCGCAGAUAUCAGGAGGAACACCAAUAGCGAAGGCAGCUCGCUGGGACGUUACUGACACUGAGGCGCGAAAGCGUGGGGAGCGAACAGG
rnacentral:rRNA from 1 species